rnacentral:rRNA from 1 species
CAUACCUUGAAGUGGGGGACAACAGUUGGAAACGACUGCUAAUACCGCAUAAUCCCUGAGGGGGAAAGAUUUAUCGCUUUAAGAUUGGCCCGCGGAAGAUUAGGUAGUUGGUGGGGUAAAGGCCUACCAAGCCGACGAUCUAUAGCUGGUCUGAGAGGACGAACAGCCACAUUGGAACUGAGACACGGUCCAGACUCCUACGGGAGGCAGCAGUGAGGAAUAUUGGGCAAUGGAGGAAACUCUGACCCAGCCAUGCCGCGUGAGUGAAGAAGGUUUUCGAAUUGUAAAGCUCUUUCGGAUGGGACGAUGAUGACGGUACCAUCUAAAGAAGCCCCGGCAAACUUCGUGCCAGCAGCCGCGGUAAUACGAAGGGGGCAAGCGUUGUUCGGAAUUACUGGGCGUAAAGGGUGUGUAGGCGGAUUUGUAAGAUAGUGGUGAAAUACCUGAGCUCAACUUAGGAAUUGCCAUUAUAACUGUAGAUCUGGAGUGACAGAGAGGAUAUUGGAAUACCCAGUGUAGAGGUGAAAUUCGUAGAUAUUGGGUAGAACACCAGUGGCGAAGGCGAGUAUCUGGCUGUCAACUGACGCUGAGGCACGAAAGCAUGGGGAUCAAACAGGAUUAGAUACCCUGGUAGUCCAUGCUGUAAACAAUGAAUGCUAGUUGUCGGCAAAAGCCGGUGACGCAG